rnacentral:misc_RNA from 1 species
GAUGAAGAACGUAGCGAAAUGCGAUAAGUAGUGUGAAUUGCAGAAUUCAGUGAAUCAUCGAAUCUUUGAACGCACAUUGCGCCCCUUGGUAUUCCAUGGGGCAUGCCUGUUCGAGCGUCAUUUGUACCCUCAAGCUAUGCUUGGUGUUGGGUGGUUGUCCUCUCCUUUGCGAUUGGACUCGCCUUAAAGACAUUGGCAGCCAGUGUAUUGGUCUUGAAGCGCAGCACAUUUUGCGAUUCUUGCUGAUAAUCACUAGCGUCCAGUAAGCCUAUUUUAACACUUUUGACCUCGGAUCAGGUAGGGAUACCCGCUGAACUUAAGCAUAUCAAUAAGCGGAGGA